AUUUUAUUUUCAUUAAAUGAGAAGAGGUCUCAGAGGUUGUGAGCAGGUUUGGACUUGAAAGAGAAGAGGGCAGGUGUCGUCCAUAAAUCUGAACCAAUGGCUACGUGGUGCCCCUGGAUAGGACAUCAGAGCCCUCUUUUCCACAGUUGG